GUUAAAGGAAUUGAAACAGUUACCACUUAUGAUUCAAACACCGGAGAGUUUGUUAUAAACACUCCUUGUGAGUCAGCUCAAAAAUAUUGUAUUGGUGGAGCAGCCAAUCAUGCAACACAGACGGUGGUCUUUUCGCAGCUUGAAAUUAAUGGGAAAAAUCAAGGGGUUCAUGCAUUCAUUUGCCAGAUCAGGAAUGCAGAUGGUUUGAUAAUGUCCGAAUCCCUAGGGAGAAUUUGUUGAAUUCAAUUGCUGAUGUUUCACCUGAUGGAGAAUAUCUUAGUGCAAUCAAAGACCUAGAUCAGUGAUUUGCAGCUUUCAAGGCCGCUUUAACAUCUGGUUGUGUAAUUAUAGCAUCAGCAGCAAUGUACAUAUCAAAGAUUGGCUUAUCAAUAGCUAUUAAGGUAUGCAUUAUCAAGGCAGGCAUUCUCUAUUACACCAAAUGGACCUGAAAUCCUGUUGCUCAAUUAUCCAAGUCAUCAACGGUGACUAUUGCCUCUCCUUGCAAAGACUUAAGCAUCUCGAUAACUUGCAUUGUGAAAUUAAAUUUUAUUGUAAUUUUGGGAUUAAACUUUUCUCUCUUCUCUUCCCUUACAUUUAUAGUAUCUGGUAUGAACUGAGUAUAUAUGUUACUGGAUUUGCCAGUGUUGACACAUCUACAAAAUUUUCCCAAUUGACUCUUAUCUGUUUGCCAAGUAAGUAAGGAGUUUGAUUCUAUUGGAAGUGUAUAUUUUUUCACUUAGUAAUGCUAAUAAAUUUUUCCUGAUUGCUGCAUUUAUUUGUGGUAUUUGAAUAGGAGUAAUUAUACUGGACCUAUCUAUUGAUGAUCUUAUCUAAUAAACUGGUGUUGUUAUUUCUGCUGCUAUCCUCCCCUUUUCAUCCCCAUUAUUGAUUCUGCAACAGAUAUGCUAUGAGUUCUGCUGCAAACUACAUGAAGAUGUUAUAUGUGAAUAGGGCUCCUCAGUCAAACAAAACCAUUCAUGUUAUUUCAAGUGCAUUCAAGGCUACUUUUACCUGGCACAAUCAACAAACACUACAGGAAUGCCGUGAAGACGUGGAGCACAAGGCCUGAAGACUGAAAAUCAUGUCGGUUAUUUGAAAAGUGAAUUUGAUGUGCAAUCUGCUUUUGAAGGGGACAACAAUGUCCUGAUGCAGCAGGAAAUGAAAUUUUGCUACUUACUAACAUAGAGAGCUUUAAGGUAACUAUUUCUUGGCCAUAUUUCUUUCCUCAGAGAUAUAUGGUUGGUCAAUGAAAGGGGUUUUUUCUAGUAGCUAGUGAUUUAUAAGGAUACACUGAUUUAUGUUUAUACAAUUGUCCUUUCGUGUUCA